AAAAAUGAAAACAUCUGACAUUUCAGGAAUUGUUUGCUACAAAACCAAUGGAUGCAUGAUCAUAGUUCGUAUCGUUCCCAUUUAAAUGAGACAACAUUGAUAUGGAUAUCCAGUGUAGAAGAAUAAACUGCUGUUGUAUUCACAUUUCCACAUCUUUAGGUGGUAGCCAACUGAUCUAGAAGCUUUUGUGUAACUCAAACCUAUGUAACUCAAACUAUUUCUAAAAAAUCUCAACAUUUUUCGCUACUGAGAGCUCAUUUUUAGCAAUGUAUUAUGUUAUGCACACAUAACGGAAGAUUGAACAUUGGCUCCAUUAUAAUACUUACUGCUGAUGUAAUCACACUGCAAAAAUUGCCAGGUUUGAAAGGAACACCUACGCUUCACAUGCUUUCCUACAUAGAUCUCGGUGGGUAUAAAAAAGGGUUAGUAUUUUAAAAAACAAAAUAGUAAUUCGGCCUCACUUUUUAGCGGUGGUGAAAUGAAGUAAAAUACAAAAGAAGUUUGGACCACAAACAAACACUUGUCUUGGGUUUAAAAACUCAAUGAAAAUGCUAUGUAACACAGUGAUAGAUAGUGGAGAAACCCAGGGAGAAUAGCUACACCCUUCCUCCCCCCAACACUGCAAGUGCCUACUGUUCUUAAUUGCCUAUUGAUGUUUUGUUGUUCUUGUUUUCGCACCACCUCUGGUUUACGCCCCUGCUUAGCAGAGGCGCAAGUGAGUAAUGCCCUGCCAUCGUACUGCACCACAACCAACCAAAAUUUGUGGACAAUGAUAGGCACAGACAGCACUCGCAUUCAGUGAUUGGCCAUUAGCUUGGAUUUUUUUUUUCCUUCACCGCAAGAAAGAAACUUUUUGGGAAAAUUGCUGUGUGGUGCUGGAUGUCGACACCCCAUGCAUCAUAUUCCAUCAGUAAGUACCGUUUUCCCUCCCACACAGACGCUGAAGACAAUAAGGUUUCCUCUUGUGCAGACAAGCCAGCUGCUACUGUUGUCAAUAUUGGUCUGUUAGCUCCAAGAGUGCAUCGUCACACACCAUCAGCAUGUUACCAAAUAAAAGCUGUGCAGAUUGUGGUAUUGUUCAGUAAAAUUGUGAAACUGUGUGCUUGUUUAUUUAUUUAUUUUUUCUGAGUACGUCAGAACGGCAAAGGUUUUAGGAACAACAAAUAGUUUAAAAAAAAAAACCUCACGAAAUCAUGACUCUUUUGGAUGCAAAAGUCGCUCACAAAAAAGUGAACCCAUUUUUUUUUAGCAACACUUUUGUGCUACCAUGCUGUGGGAGGAGGAGCCACAGCAGGAAUUCCUGUGAGCGUUCUUCCUCUUUGCCACAAGCGACACUGGUGAGGACAAACAUGUGAAUGUCUUGAUCUCAUUGGCUGGCUAAAACACUGUAUCUUUGAAGAAACCUUAAAUCCAAAGUAAAAGACUUCACCAGGCAGAUAUUCAAAAAAAAACAACUGAAAGAGACUGAGGCCUGUUUGCUCAUUAAUUCUUGAUGUUGCAUAACACAAAGUUAUGUUAAUGAGAAAAUAAUGUGAAUCUGUGAAAGUAACUUCAAUUAUCCAGUCCACAUACCUUUUACAGCUUCUUGUAAAACACAUCAAUGAUGUAUUAGAUUGUGCAGUACAUAUCUAAGUUACAUCAAAGGUUGUUUUUUUUGGGGGGGGUUUUCCAGCAAACCGGUGACAGCAUCUACUGGGUGCUAGUACAUGCUUAGACACUGAUAAAAAGGUAAUAUGAGCAUACAACUUCUCUGUUUUUUUUUCCACUCUGUGGGUUAACGAUGGUUUACACAUUUUAAAAGCAGGUCUAUGAACUGCAUAGAGCUGCUUUGCAAGUUGCAUUAACAACCGAAAUGAAACAUAUCUUUGGUCCCUUUGUCCCGAAAUAAAGUCGAGUCACUUCAUUUCUGUGAACAUUGUUUAUCCUAUUGUGCAGAACUCAUCUUUGGAGUCUGACCAGUUAAAUUGCCUUUAACCCCAGUCCAACUAAGUGUUUAUGAUUUUUGUUGUAGGGUGGGUCAACUUUCAGGAACCGUUGUACGGUUUUAAAUUAUGAACUCACAAAGAACGUAUUUCACCACUGACCUCGAAAAGCACGUCUCAGUCAUGCCCUUCACAGUUUUGAGGCUGUGGGAAUUAAUCGCCUUGUCUCUUUUGCUCAGUAAUUUGACACAUGAUACACUUAAGUAAUGCGCAAUCAAAUUCCCAAUGGCAAUUAAUAACAACACAAAUUGAAAUGAUUUAUAUUAUAAUGUAAUUGCUCUGAAUCGCCGUGUGAUUGGGAAAAAUGUGUAAGACUUGUGCAAUAUGGAAAGAAAAGAAAUUGUCGGUGUUAUUCUUUUAUUGUGCACUUAAAGUAAAAGAAUGGUUGUCCUGUCAAGGGCGGGUAAACUCAGCAAGGUUAAUGUCUCAUUAUAAUACAAAUUUCAUCUGUGGUCAUAAUGGCAUGACCAACGACACAGACUGUAUUUUUACAGCAUAUGUGACUGAAAAUAUCGUUGCAGGUAAUGAGCUGUAUUCAAUGCUAAUGUUGCUGAUCAGAUCUUAAAACUGAAAUGAGAUGUCAGGUUUUCUUUUUAAUAUAUUAUAAAGGUUUUGUAGCCAUGCAUAUUUAAAAGUACCAUGCAGAGCAACCAUUAUAUAGCAUUUCUAACAUUUGUAUAACAUUUCAGACAGUGAAUACAAAAUGCAGUUUACAAAUUAGGGUCUUUUUUACUAUAGAAAGUCAAAUAAUUCCGGCCCUGUAUGAAAAAGGUUAUUGACCCAGUUGAUUUUUGUUGUCUUUUUUUCUAGUCUACAUUUGGUUGUGCUAGUGCCUUUUCCCCAUUUUUUGACAGGAAAGAAGGGAAGACAUGCGGCAAAGGUAUCGAGGUACAAGACAAAGACUGGACAAAAACUGCAUUAAUGGGAGACAUUCUAGGUAAAAAUCAAAGUGGUUAAAAAAAAAAAAAAACACACACAAAUUGUAGUCUUUGGGUAAAACAUGUUUGAUGAUUUGAAACAUCUAUAUGUGUGGGGGGGGGGGAGGGAAAAGAUGAGAAUGUCACACAGGGAAAUAUUUUUUCCAACAACUUCGGUCCAAGCAUCAAACAUGUGGAAGUCAGCACUUCUGCAGUAAAUAAAAUGUGGUAUCUGUCCAUAGAAUCAAGUUAAUAUUUGCACAUAUUGUCUACAAUAUUAUUCAAGGAGAGCUUUCUCAGUACCAAGUGGGACUCUGAAAGUUACCUGACCUUGACAUUUACUGAGAUAACAUAAUGCAUUUUAGCUUAACAUUCUAGAAGCAUUUUCAUUUUGAAUACAUUUAUUUUAAAAAAGAAGUACUGUAACUGGGUGGUGCAUUAAUAAUAACUGAAUUAGUGCAUAUGUAUAUUUUGGGGUUGGUACAUUGAUCCAACAUGAAAAUCCCAGACUGGUUAGAGUAAUCACUCUUCCCAAUUACUUAUAAUUAUUUAAAUAAUAUUGUCUUAAUAAUAUUUGAAAGUAGCUUACUUUUUAUAUGGUGUCUACAUGUUUUUUUCCCCAAACACAACCCAACACCUGCAUGCUUUCUUAAGAGGCUGAGAACAUCUACAAAUAACUAUGCACAGUUCUGUUUUGUGUUGAAAGUUGCAGUACGCAACUUCCAUAAACAAUUAUUAUUAUUAUUAUUAUUUUCACAUAUUUGUUAAAACGGUCACUAUGUUUUGACUGUAUAAGAUGAGAGAGAAUCUGUGGGAAGACAAAAAAACAGAGCUAUGCUCCCUUCUCUCUGUGGUAGAAGGGAAUAAAAUACAGAAUAAAAAUCAACAAAUAAUUGUAGUUUAAUUCUAAUGUACAAUUAUUCUGGUUUUCAAUGAGUUUUAAAAGCAUUAAAGUCUAAAGUCAAACAUAUAAACUUACUCAACAUAGAUUCUCCAAUGUCUAUAUUUUUAUGCCAAGACAAAGCCUUAAUGAUUUUUUGAACAACUAAUUAUUUCCCAAAACACAAGAUUUAUGCAAGGCAUGAAAAA